AUCCUUUUGUAGUUCAUGAGUGUGACGAUUGGGUGUUCGUGCUCCUGUGUGACAGGUGCCCCCCCACAAACCUUGUUACAACAUCGGCACGUUACCCAUCUGACA